GUUCAAAGCCCUUCCCUUUCCCCUUCGUCUCAUUCUCCACCAUCAAUCACAACAACUAAAUUGAGCAAAUAUCAACAAUGGAGGUGCAGAAGAGCAAUCAAGCCAAGGAGGAGAUGAAAGGAUCAGCCAACAACCGAAACUACGCUGCUCCCCAGCUCACCAUCUUUUACGGUGGAUCGAUCUGUGUCUUCGAUGCCGUGCCGCCGGAGAAGGCCCAGGCGAUCAUGCUAAUUGCCACCGCCGCGGCAGCUGCUGCAAAGAGUAGAGCCGGUACCUGGGCUUCUUCAACUGCGACAACGGUUUCCGGUCCCCAAAGUUCGCUCAAGCUGCAGGCUGAGCUUCCGGUCGCAAGGAGGCACUCGCUCCAGCGCUUCUUGGAGAAGCGUCGUGACAGGUUGGUGAACAGAGCUCCAUAU
rnacentral:misc_RNA from 1 species